UGGGCUUAGACAACAAUAAUGCAUUAAGACUAAUAUGCAGUUGUUUGAUGACAAAGUGUUGUCCUUGACAUAGGGAUGUCAAAAUCAAUACAUGAGUAUAUGUUAGAGAACGACAUAUUGGACUUACUCGCUAUGAGUAUGUUUCUUGGAUUAUUAUAUAAUAGUUACAACAUUACUCAUAGUGGUAACUAUGUACAUG
rnacentral:lncRNA from 1 species